UUGAUUUUGCCAUUUCUACUUUGUAUGCUCACUGAGAAUUUGAGAGAGAAACAGGAAAGAGAGAGAGGUGCUGCAACCAGACGACGGUGAAAUGAGGAAAUUCGAUCCAUGGCCUGUGUUCUUCAGGAGAGAGUGGAACCGUAAUUGGCCUUUUCUUGUCGGAUUUGCCAUUACUGGAACCAUUAUCACCAAGUUCUCCCUUGGUCUCACGGAGGAGGACGCGAAGAACUCUCCCUUUGUGCAGAGGCACCACCGGAAGUAACUUUUCUUUCUCCUUUUGACUUUGCUCACAAACCCUAGAAGAAAUUUAGUAAAAUAUGAAAAUAUGAGGACCUGCUGUCUGGUCAACUAAGAAGGCCUGCAUCAUGGAGAUAGAUCUUUGAUUUUUCGCUUCCAAUUGCUUUAAUAUCAGUUAUCACUCGGAUGAUUGUGUUGAUUACAUAAAUAUUUUAAACUUCGUAUGUGGAAUCUAAAGUUUGUGUAUGCUGUUCUCGGAGGAUGGCACUUGAAAAGAAAUAAUGAGAUCAUGUGAUGAAUUCACAGCCUUUUUUCUGGCUUUCAUCCUGCUUUGCGCAAGUUGAUGGUGCUCUUUUGGUUCCUACAUUGCAUUGAGUUGGGAUGUAAUAAUUCAAGAGAAUUUUAGGAUUAUUUGAUGGAGAUUUCUUCUUUCGUUA